rnacentral:misc_RNA from 1 species
GAUGAAGAACGUAGCGAAAUGCGAUAAGUAAUGUGAAAUGCAGAAUUCAGUGAAUCAUCGAAUCUUUGAACGCACAUUGCGCCCCUUGGUAUUCCGGGGGGCAUGCCUGUUCGAGCGUCAUUAUCACCCCUCAAGCUCAGCUUGGUGUUGGGGCCUGCCGUCAAGGCAGCCCUUAAAAUCAGUGGCGGCGCCAUCUGGCUCUAAGCGUAGUAAUUCUUCUCGCUGUUGAGCUCCGGUGGUCGCCCGCCAGCAACCCCCAACUUUUACAGUUUGACCUGGGAUGAGGUAGGGAUACCCGCUGAACUUAAGCAUAUCAAUAAGCGGAGGA